CAAAAUUCUCAGGGCGGGGCGCAAUUCCCCACCGGUGGUAUAGCCCACGAGCGCUUAGUAAAAUUCUAUUUUAUUAAGGACAGCAGAUUUGGUGAGAUUCCAAAGCCGACAGUUAAAGUCUGGAUGAAAGAGAGUAGCU
rfam:Gilliamella sp. N-G2 NODE_4, whole genome shotgun sequence.